rnacentral:lncRNA from 1 species
AUUGUUAGACUAAUAUUAUCCUGUGACUUAUUUAUUGUUCUGUAUGUUAUAUUCUCUUUUCAUACAUUAAGGAACUAUACUAUAUUUACCGAAGUAUACUAAAUCAUUUUAGUUUUAUACGGACAACACUACCUCUACUGUGAGGACAACACUAAAAAGAGAUUUUGACAGAUAGAGCGCGCGCUUCCGAUGCGCUUCCUUCGUGGACUGAUAAACUAUGUUUUCUUACGAUUGAUAUUAAAUUGUGUUUUAAAAGUGAAUACAAGAAGUUAUUGUGAUACGAGUUGACGUUUUAUUUCUGAUUAAGGCUAGGAGAUCAUACCCUAGCUUAUAUCAGAAGCGGGAAGAACAGAAAACGCCUAAUUACCAAUGGGGCGCGAAUGCUCCGAAUACAAUAAAAUUAAUGAUCACGCCACACUAUGCGAAACACUUAAACGAAGACGAGAUGACCACAGCACUGAUUGCUCAACCGCAAUAAUGUAUCAAGGACUUAUCUACUCAAGGAAAACAAAGCGACAUGGUCAACAACUUGUGGAACCUAUAAUGACGACGACCAGACAAGAUUCUUGUAUGUAGAUUACUGCUUGACACACACUACGCCUGAUGGCGAUUAGACACCUUCUCCGCCGCGAUGCAACAGGUACCCGAGACAUUGGACAAUCAGGUAUAAGCAUUAAUAUUUUUUUUUUCUCAUUCCAAUUAAUCCAUGGAAUAGAAAACAAUCAUUUAAUUGCCCAAACAUGUGUAUACAUGCAUACACACGCAGGUGCAUGCAUGUAGGAUAAUACAAUUAUUAAAGGUAUGUGCUUAAAACAUGUUUGCCACUUGUCAAUACAAAUAUAAAACCAGAAACAUUUAGCUCUAUAUACUAAAAACUAUUUGAGCUGACAUUUCAGAGCUUCGGUACUGAGUUUUCUCUAGGUUAUAGAUAUUUUGUUGUACAUAAUGGGUGCCAUUCAAAAUAUAAUUUAGCACAUAAGUGCAGUUUUACAUGGAUGUGAACAGAGUUUGCUAUUGAUCCAUUUGAUGCAUGCAUUUUUAAGGUGAGUAAAUGUACAACAAUAUAUUUCAUUAGACAUCCAUAAACCAGCUGGGAACAUGACAGAUACUCUGAGGUAAACAUUUAUAUCCUGAGUAAUUAUGUAUGGUGUUAUUUUUGCUACACAUUGAAUACAUAAAAUAUUCAUGAGAAAAGAGUAAAUAAAGCAAGUAAAGCUAAUUGCAUAGUUCAUGGGGAUGAUGGCCAAACGAUUUGGUGUUAAUGCAUUAUUUACAUACAUUACUGAAAUAGACGAAGGAAGUACCUAUAAAAAUAAGUAAAUAGGAUAUAACAAUAGGAUAUUCAUGAUAUAAAGCCAAUAUUACAAUAAUUAAAAUUGAAAUAAUCAUAAUCACUUACAAAUAGAGGUAGAAAAUAAAGUGGUUAAUUGACAACCAACAAAAACCGUGCGACACAGCUCUUGACUAUUCUAUGUACAUCCAAAGCGGUGAUAACAGGUAUUAAUAAUGGAUAAUCAAAUACUUUAAAGUACUAUAAACACUAAACUGGUUUUUAUUAAUAAAGUAACUAUGAAACUAAAUGCUUCAAGCCAGUAUGUUUCAGACAGUAAGUAUGUUUUACCAAUAUCUUGGUACUGCCAAUAGCAUACAUCAUUGUUAAGUAAAACUUCAUUCCAAGCAAAUAUCAUUGCUUGUUAUUAUUUUAAAGAGUAUCUAAAGUAAAAAUUAUAAAAAUGGUAAUCUUUUUAAAUGAUCUUUUCCAUAUUAUUAACUGUAAAUUGCCUCACCUAGAAAAAGUUAAACUGCUUAUUCUAACUGAAUGUUGGAUGAUAUUACAGCUUACAGGUACAUUAUAGGACUGUAACACAUUAAGGAUAGUUUAAUCACAGUAAAGAUGCAGCAAUUGUAGUAAAUAUUAUUUACUUAAAGGAUUUUACAGACUGAAGCAUAAUAAAUAAAUAUAAAUCAGUAGUGUCAAUUAAUCAGAAGAAAAUAUAACUCAGUAGUGUCAGUAAUCUGAGUAGCCAGAUCAGAUAUGUUCUUUUUGAAAGAUUUCAUUUUAAUUUGGAAUCCACCACUUGAUGCUGAGACCAGUUUUCUCAACCAUUAAAAAUAACCCGAAGUGCUUAAAGAUAUGUAUACUAGAAUCAAAUAAAUACAAAAUAAAGAAAUUUCAGCUUUGAAAUCUGAAUCGAAAGCAGUCUAUAUAUUAUUAACUUAAUAAAUGAAUAUGGCAAUUGGGUCAAUAAGAGAUAGGUUUGAGUUGGAACAAAACAACAUUAGUUAUACAUAAAAUUGUCUGAUACUACACAGGAGCUAUACCAUCAGAAUACAUUAUACUAUACUGAAAAAGAAGUAUGUGAGACGGUUAAAGAAUAAAAGACUAGGCAAUUAAUAAGUAAUUUGUCCUAGCCCAUUAAAAAGUUGAAUACAUACCAGGGCACUCAGUAAAACAUAUAGAUUAUUAUAAAUAAAUAAUUGAUGAUUAAUGGAUACUAAACGAGAUAAAAUAUGUAGGUAUACAUAUAUAUUGUAGUCAGAGAUAGAAGAUGUAAUAAAUUGAGAGAUUUGUAUAUUGUCCAGUUUGAUGAUAUUGAUAAUUACGAGUCAUUUAUGAUUCUGAAUUUAAUACACGGAAGGAAUUGUGUAAGGACGGUUUUGUGUAAGGAGCCGCUUGUGAUAACAUUAUUAAUCAAUAUUAUAGAGAUCUUCAUUGACACAUACCUACUUAAAAAGCUGUGUAUAUUUCUCAUAGCUCUCAAUUCUUCGAAACUAAGUCCUUAAAAAAAAAAAAAAAAAAAAAAUUGUAUAUAUUGUGCCAAUAAAGUGUAAUUGUGAAGUAUAUAAAAUAAGACAGGAUAUUAAGCAAUUGUAUAUUGUAUUGAAGAUCAAUACAAGUGUAGUGACGCAGUUUAUGAAUCUAAGGCUGGAUAUUAAGAAAUUGUAUAUUGUAUUGUUAAUGUACAGUAGUCCAAGUACUGGAUAGAAAGAAGUUGUUUACUGUAAUGAGAAAUUAUAUAAGCAGAAGCAAUGUGUAAAUACUGAUUUGCACUUUGAAUUAUGAUAGUGAUAAAUUUUAACGUGUUAAUAAGGAACAUAAGUUCAGAGACUUUGUAUAAUAGAAGUAUUCUAUUGAAAUGAGAAAUGAUAUAAGUAUUUUGAUGCCAAUAUGGUGAUGUUGACUUGUACUGCUUGAAUUUGAAUGAGGUACACAAAUCCAGAGACUGGAUACAUAGGAUUCUUUAUUUAAUGAUUGAUGAUAUAAGUAUGUUGUCGUCGAUAUGUUCAUAUUGACUUGUAAUAUUGAAAUUUGAAUGUAUUGAUAAAGUAUGUGUAAGAUAAGAACGAGACGAGAGAGAGACGAGACUGGAUAUAAGGAAUUGUUCAUUUGAUGGGAAACUAUAUAAAUGAAUUCAUGUCAAUAUGUUGAUUUUGACUUGUAUUGCUUGAAUUUGAAUGUAUUGGUAAGGUACCUACACAAGUCCGGAGACUGGAUAUAGAGAAUUGUUUAUUUAAUGGGGAAUGAUAAAAGUAUAUUGAUGUCAAAAUGUUGAUGUUGACUUGUAAUCGUUGAAUUUGAAUGCAUUUAUAAAGAAAUAAAUCCAGAGACUGGAUAUAAAACAUGUCGACUAUUGAAAUAGGAAAUGACAUAAGUAUAUAGAUGCCAAUAUGUUGAUGUUGACUUGAAAUGGUUGAAUUUGAAUGUAUUUAUAAAGAAUAUAGAUCCAGAGACUGGAUAUAAAUAAAGUUGAUUAUUGAAAUAGGAUAUGAUAUAAGUAUAUAGAUGCCAAUAUGUUGAUGUUUACUUGUAAUGGUUGAAUUUGAAUGUAUUUAUAAAGAAAUAAAUCCAGAGACUGGAUAUAAAACAAGUCGAUUAUUUAAAUAGGAAAAUAUAUAAGUAUAUAGAUGCCAAUAUGUUGAUGUUGACUUGUCAUGGUUAAAUUUGAAUGUAUUGAUAAGGUACAUAAGUCGAGAGACUUGAUAGAAGGAUCUUGAUGUCAAUUUGUUAACAUGACUAGAAGGCGUAGAUAGCUCCAAAUAGGAGUGAAUUCCUCGUUGCAGUCACAGUGAUAGUGUGAUAGUAUGAGAUAAGAUUAACUUACUCUGUUAAACUUGAAUGUUUUGAUAAAGUAUACAAGUCCAAAUACUAGACGUGAAGUUGUUUACCGUAGUAAGAAUUUGUACAAGUAUAUGGUUGCCAAUUUGUUAAAAUGGCAAUGUACACAAGUCACAGUUUGGAUUCAAAAUGAAAUGAAAUGAAAAUAUUUGCAGAAAUUGUUUAUCGUAGUGAGAGUUUAUGCAAUUAUAUUGUUGACGAUUUGUUAGCAUGGCUGGAAGGCGUGGAUGGCUCCAGUUGGAGUGAAGGCCACGAUGCAGUCAUAGUUAGAGAUGGCUGGAAGGCGUGGAUGGCUCCAGUUGGAGUGAAGGCCACGAUGCAGUCCUAGUUAAAGAUACGACUCUGGAAGGUUGGCACGAUCGUGAAGCCUUGUUGGUGGAUAUCCUCUUGGCUUUGCGGUGAGGGGUCAAAUGCAGAUGUCGUGAGUUGAGAUUGGCUGGAAGGCGUGGAUGGCUCCAGUUGGAGUGAAGGCCACGAUGCAGUCCGUCCUAGUUAAAGAUACGACUCUGGAAGGUUGGCACGAUCGUGAAGCCUUGUUGGUGGACAUCCUCUUGGCUUUGCGGUGAGGGGUCAAAUGCAGAUGUCGUGAGUUGAGAUUGGCUGGAAGGCGUGGAUGGCUCCAGUUGGAGUGAAGGCCACGAUGCAGUCCGUCCUAGUUAAAGAUACGACUCUGGAAGGUUGGCACGAUCGUGAAGCCUUGUUGGUGGACAUCCUCUUGGCUUUGCGGUGAGGGGUCAAAUGCAGAUGUCGUGAGUUGAGAUUGGCUGGAAGGCGUGGAUGGCUCCAGUUGGAGUGAAGGCCACGAUGCAGUCCGUCCUAGUUAAAGAUACGACUCUGGAAGGUUGGCACGAUCGUGAAGCCUUGUUGGUGGAUAUCCUCUUGGCUUUGCGGUGAGGGGUCAAAUGCAGAUGUCGUGAGUUGAGAUUGGCUGGAAGGCGUGGAUGGCUCCAGUUGGAGUGAAGGCCACGAUGCAGUCCGUCCUAGUUAAAGAUACGACUCUGGAAGGUUGGCACGAUCGUGAAGCCUUGUUGGUGGACAUCCUCUUGGCUUUGCGGUGAGGGGUCAAAUGCAGAUGUCGUGAGUUGAGAUUGGCUGGAAGGCGUGGAUGGCUCCAGUUGGAGUGAAGGCCACGAUGCAGUCCGUCCUAGUUAAAGAUACGACUCUGGAAGGUUGGCACGAUCGUGAAGCCUUGUUGGUGGACAUCCUCUUGGCUUUGCGGUGAGGGGUCAAAUGCAGAUAUCGUGAGUUGAGAUUGGCUGGAAGGCGUGGAUGGCUCCAGUUGGAGUGAAGGCCACGAUGCAGUCCGUCCCAGUUAAAGAUACGACUCUGGAAGGUUGGCACGGUCGUGAAGCCUUAUUGGUGGACAUCCUUUUGGCUUUGCGGUGAGGGGUCAAAUGCAGAUGUCGUGAGUUGAGAUUGGCUGAAAGGCGUGGAUAGCUCCAGUUGGAGUGAAGGCCACGAUACGGUCAUGAGGCCAAAUGCAAACGUCGCCAGUUAAGGCCGACUGGGUGGUGUAGAUGGGUCCAGUAAGAGUGAAGGCCACGAUACGGUCAUGAGGCCAAAUGCAAACGUCGCCAGUUAAGGCCGACUGGGUGGUGUAGAUGGGUCCAGUAAGAGUGAAGGCCACGAUACGGUCAUGACGCCAAAUGCAAACGUCGCCAGUUAAGGCCGACUGGGUGGUGUAGAUGGGUCCAGUAAGAGUGAAGGCCACGAUACGGUCAUGACGCCAAAUGCAAACGUCGCCAGUUAAGGCCGACUGGGUGGUGUAGAUGGGUCCAGUAAAAGUGAAGGCCACGAUACGGUCAUGAGGCCAAAUGCAAACGUCGCCAGUUAAGGCCGACUGGGUGGUGUAGAUGGGUCCAGUAAGAGUGAAGGCCACGAUACGGUCAUGAGGCCAAAUGCAAACGUCGCCAGUUAAGGCCGACUGGGUGGUGUAGAUGGGUCCAGUAAGAGUGAAGACCUCGAGGCAGUCCUAGGAACGCAGCUCUGUAAAGGUGGCACAGUCAUGAAUUCUUGCUGGCGAAUAACCUCUUGACUUUGAGAAGUUUGAGGACAAACUUAGUGGUCAGAAUGGCCGAAUGUUAGACUAAUAUUAUCCUGUGACUUAUUUAUUGUUCUGUAUGUUAUAUUCUCUUUUCAUACAUUAAGGAACUAUACUAUAUUUACCGAAGUAUACUAAAUCAUUUUAGUUUUAUACGGACAACACUACCUCUACUGUGAGGACAACACUAAAAAGAGAUUUUGACAGAUAGAGCGCGCGCUUCCGAUGCGCUUCCUUCGUGGACUGAUAAACUAUGUUUUCUUACGAUUGAUAUUAAAUUGUGUUUUAAAAGUGAAUACAAGAAGUUAUUGUGAUACGA